rnacentral:rRNA from 1 species
UACGUAGGGAGCAAGCGUUGUCCGGAAUUAUUGGGCGUAAAGCGCGCGUAGGUGGCUUCGUAAGUCCGUUGUGAAAGUCAAAGGCUCAACCUUUGAAAGCCGAUGGAUACUGCGGAGCUAGAGUACGGAAGAGGCAAGUGGAAUUCCUGGUGUAGCGGUGGAAUGCGCAGAUAUCAGGAGGAACACCGGUGGCGAAGGCGGGUCUCUGGGCCGAUACUGACGCUGAGGAGCGAAAGCGUGGGGAGCAAACAGG